UAGUCCACGCUGUAAACGAUGUCUACUAGCUGUUGGGUUCCUUGAGGACUUAGUGGCGCAGCUAACGCGAUAAGUAGACCGCCUGGGGAGUACGGCCGCAAGGUUAAAACUCAAAUGAAUUGACGGGGGCCCGCACAAGCGGUGGAGCAUGUGGUUUAAUUCGAAGCAACGCGCAGAACCUUACCUACCCUUGACAUGCCUGGCUAUAUGGAGAGAUCCAUAGUUCCUUCGGGACCAGUGCACAGGUGCUGCAUGGCUGUCGUCAGCCCGUGUCGUGAGAUGUUGGGUUAAGUCCCGCAACGAGCGCAACCCUCGCCUUUAGUUGCCAUCAUUUAGUUGGGCACUCUAGAGGAACCGCCGGUGAUAAGCCGGAGGAAGGUGGGGAUGACGUCAAGUCCUCAUGGCCCUUACGGGUAGGGCUACACACGUGCUACAAUGGCAGUGACAAUGGGUUAAUCCCUAAAAACUGUCUCAGUUCGGAUUGUUCUCUGCAACUCGAGAGC
rnacentral:rRNA from 1 species